rnacentral:rRNA from 1 species
ACGCUCGACACCUACUGGAGGCAGCAGUGGGGAAUAUUGCACAAUGGGGAAACCCUGAUGCAGCGACGCCGCGUGAGCGAAGAAGUAUUUCGGUAUGUAAAGCUCUAUCAGCAGGGAAGAAACUGACGGUACCUGACUAAGAAGCACCGGCUAAAUACGUGCCCGCAGCCGCGGUAAUCUGAGCGGGCUGGCAAGGC